rnacentral:rRNA from 1 species
UGGGGAAUUUUGGACGAAUUGGGCGAAAGCCUGAUCCAGCAAUGCCGCGUGUGUGAAGAAGGCCUUCGGGUUGUAAAGCACUUUUGUCCGGAAAGAAAUCCUUGGCUCUAAUACAGUCGGGGGAUGACGGUACCGGAAGAAUAAGCACCGGCUAACUACGUGCCAGCAGCCGCGGUAAUACGUAGGGUGCAAGCGUUAAUCGGAAUUACUGGGCGUAAAGCGUGCGCAGGCGGUUUGCUAAGACCGAUGUGAAAUCCCCGGGCUCAACCUGGGAACUGCAUUGGUGGCUGGCAGGCUAGAGUAUGGCAGAGGGGGGUAGAAUUCCACGUGUAGCAGUGAAAUGCGUAGAGAUGUGGAGGAAUACCGAUGGCGAAGGCAGCCCCCUGGGCCAAUACUGACGCUCAUGCACGAAAGCGUGGGGAGCAAACAGGAUUAGAUACCCUGGUA